CGCUGGCGGCGUGCCUAACACAUGCAAGUCGAACGAGAUCCAUGGGAGCUUGCUCCCGGAAGAUCUAGUGGCGAACGGGUGAGUAACACGUGAGAAACCUGCCCUGGAGUGGGGAAUAACUCGGGGAAACUCGAGCUAAUACCGCAUACCCUCGGAUGGUCGCAUGGCCGACCGAGGAAAGAUUUAUCGCUCUAGGAGGGUCUCGCGGCCUAUCAGCUAGUUGGUGGGGUAACGGCCUACCAAGGCAACGACGGGUAGCUGGUUUGAGAGAACGAUCAGCCACACUGGGACUGAGACACGGCCCAGACUCCUACGGGAGGCAGCAGUGGGGAAUCUUGCGCAAUGGGCGAAAGCCCUGACGCAGCAACGCCGCGUGCGGAUGACGGCCUUCGUGGUUGUAAACCGCUUUCAGCAGGGACGAAAAUGACGGUACCUGCAGAAGAAGCCCCGGCUAACUACGUG
rnacentral:rRNA from 1 species